GGGAAAAUGUGGAGUGUCAGUCAAGAGGCAACACUAGGAGGCAAGGAAUCUGCAUUUCUUUCAGACCUUGGCAGAGAGCGCCCUGGGAAAUGCGGAUAUAGAAGGUCAGGAGAACAUCUCUCCUGGUUAUACAGCAUUCCAGGUGGGCUUUCAUGUGGUUGAGGAUAAUAUCAUUAGCACCAAAGGUGAAAAUCCGUGGAAGCUCAUCUUAUUUCAGCAGAAGAGUAGGAUGGGCCUUGUGGCACGAGUAAGCCAAACAAGGGAAAGGCAUUCACCAUCAAUUGACUCCUCAUCUGUUUUUAAGAGGGAAAUCUGAGUUUUCAAGGAAAGCCGAAUACAGUUGCCAAGUUGCCAGUCAAAGAAACAAUGUCAACACCUGCUCAUAGAGAUGGAAUUCCUAACCCGGAAUAUUGCCCUUGAAUUACAACGAGAAAAAGAACACUUCUUAUUCCUGUAGCACCUCUUCAAGUGAGAUGGCAGACCACCUCAGGAUGGAAAUGUAUUUCUUCAUCCCCCUCUCUACUUCCCUGUGACCUCCUGCAAAUAAGGGAGAGACAAAGAGAAGAGCAGAAGAACAGAAGAAUGGAGUGGCAAAGAGAAGAGAAGGAGUGACUGAACAUUGACAAGACUUUGGUUGGGGAUGGUCAGAGAGGAGAUUAGCUGCUAGACGGCCACACUGCGGAGAAAGAUCAUUUUCCCACUCCAUCCCCCUUCCAGCUCCCCAUCCAUCUCACCAAGAGCCAGCUCCACCACUCAAUAAAACCUUACAUUCAUCUUUCAA
rnacentral:lncRNA from 1 species